UACGGAGGGAGCUAGCGUUGUUCGGAAUUACUGGGCGUAAAGCGCGCGUAGGCGGCUUUGUAAGUUAGAGGUGAAAGCCCGGGGCUCAACCCCGGAACUGCCUUUAAGACUGCAUCGCUUGAAUCCAGGAGAGGUGAGUGGAAUUCCGAGUGUAGAGGUGAAAUUCGUAGAUAUUCGGAAGAACACCAGUGGCGAAGGCGGCUCACUGGACUGGUAUUGACGCUGAUGUGCGAAAGUGUGGGGAGCGAACAGG
rnacentral:rRNA from 1 species